ACUGCGAGUGAAGCGGGAAAAGCUCAAAUUUAAAAUCUGGCGGUCUCCGACUGUCCGAGUUGUAAUCUAGAGAAGUGUUAUCCGCGCUGGACCGUGUACAAGUCUCCUGGAAUGGAGCGUCAUAGAGGGUGAGAAUCCCGUCUUUGACACGGACUGCCAGGGCUUUGUGAUGCGCUCUCAAAGAGUCGAGUUGUUUGGGAAUGCAGCUCAAAAUGGGUGGUAAAUUCCAUCUAAAGCUAAAUAUUGGCGAGAGACCGAUAGCGAACAAGUACCGUGAGGGAAAGAUGAAAAGAACUUUGGAAAGAGAGUUAAACAGUACGUGAAAUUGCUGAAAGGGAAACGCUUGAAGUCAGUCGCGUUGGCCGGGGAUCAACCUUGCUUUUGCUGGGCGUACUUUCCGGUCGACGGGUCAGCAUCAAUUUUGACCGUUGGAUAAAGUUCAGGGGAAUGUGGCAUCUUCGGAUGUGUUAUAGCCCUUGGUCGCAUACAACGAUUGGGAUUGAGGAACUCAGCACGCCGCAAGGCCGGGUACUUGUACCACGUUCGUGCUUAGGAUGCUGGCAUAAUGGCUUUAAUCGACCCGUCUUGAAACACGGACCAAGGAGUCUAACAUGCCUGCGAGUGUUUGGGUGGAAAACCCGGGCGCGUAAUGAAAGUGAAAGUUGAGAUCCCUGUCGCGGGGAGCAUCGACGCCCGGACCAGACCUUUUGUGACGGAUCCGCGGUAGAGCAUGUAUGUUGGGACCCGAAAGAUGGUGAACUAUGCCUGAAUAGGGUGAAGCCAGAGGAAACUCUGGUGGAGGCUCGUAGCGAUUCUGA
rnacentral:rRNA from 1 species